GAAGGUAUAGCUCAGUAGUAGAGUGAGUGCUUAGCAUGCAUGAGGUCCUGGGUUCAAUCCCCAGUACCGGUA
rnacentral:tRNA from 1 species